rnacentral:rRNA from 1 species
AUUGAACGCUGGCGGCAUGCCUUACACAUGCAAGUCGAACGGUAACAGGUCUUCGGAUGCUGACGAGUGGCGAACGGGUGAGUAAUACAUCGGAACGUGCCCGAUCGUGGGGGAUAACGAAGCGAAAGCUUUGCUAAUACCGCAUACGAUCUACGGAUGAAAGCAGGGGACCGCAAGGCCUUGCGCGAACGGAGCGGCCGAUGGCAGAUUAGGUAGUUGGUGGGAUAAAAGCUUACCAAGCCGACGAUCUGUAGCUGGUCUGAGAGGACGACCAGCCACACUGGGACUGAGACACGGCCCAGACUCCUACGGGAGGCAGCAGUGGGGAAUUUUGGACAAUGGGCGAAAGCCUGAUCCAGCCAUGCCGCGUGCAGGAUGAAGGCCUUCGGGUUGUAAACUGCUUUUGUACGGAACGAAAAGACUCUGGUUAAUACCUGGGGUCCAUGACGGUACCGUAAGAAUAAGCACCGGCUAACUACGUGCCAGCAGCCGCGGUAAUACGUAGGGUGCAAGCGUUAAUCGGAAUUACUGGGCGUAAAGCGUGCGCAGGCGGUUAUAUAAGACAGGUGUGAAAUCCCCGGGCUCAACCUGGGAACUGCAUUUGUGACUGUAUAGCUAGAGUACGGCAGAGGGGGAUGGAAUUCCGCGUGUAGCAGUGAAAUGCGUAGAUAUGCGGAGGAACACCGAUGGCGAAGGCAAUCCCCUGGGCCUGUACUGACGCUCAUGCACGAAAGCGUGGGGAGCAAACAGGAUUAGAUACCCUGGUAGUCCACGCCCUAAACGAUGUCAACUGGUUGUUGGGUCUUCACUGACUCAGUAACGAAGCUAACGCGUGAAGUUGACCGCCUGGGGAGUACGGCCGCAAGGUUGAAACUCAGAGGAAUUGACGGGGACCCGCACAAGCGGUGGAUGAUGUGGUUUAAUUCGAUGCAACGCGAAAAACCUUACCCACCUUUGACAUGUACGGAAUCCUUUAGAGAUAGAGGAGUGCUCGAAAGAGAGCCGUAACACAGGUGCUGCAUGGCUGUUGUCAGCUCGUGUCGUGAGAUGUUGGGUUAAGUCCCGCAACGAGCGCAACCCUUGCCAUUAGUUGCUACGAAAGGGCACUCUAAUGGGACUGCCGGUGACAAACCGGAGGAAGGUGGGGAUGACGUCAAGUCCUCAUGGCCCUUAUAGGUGGGGCUACACACGUCAUACAAUGGCUGGUACAGAGGGUUGCCAACCCGCGAGGGGGAGCUAAUCCCAUAAAGCCAGUCGUAGUCCGGAUCGCAGUCUGCAACUCGACUGCGUGAAGUCGGAAUCGCUAGUAAUCGCGGAUCAGAAUGUCGCGGUGAAUACGUUCCCGGGUCU